rnacentral:rRNA from 1 species
GCACACGACGCACGCAGCUUACGCUGCGGGCGGGCGCUUACCACUUUGUGAUUCAUGACUGGGGUGAAGUCGUAACAAGGUAACCGUAGGGGAACCUGCGGUUGGAUCACCUCCUUACCUUAAAGAA